rnacentral:rRNA from 1 species
GUAAGGGAUAUUGCGCAAUGGGCGAAAGCCUGACGCAGCAACGCCGCGUGCCUGAAGAAGGCCUUCGGGUCGUAAAGGGCUUUUCUGGCUGGAGAGACAGGACGGUAAGCCAGGAAAAAGUGUCGGCUAACUACGUGCCAGCAGCCGCGGUAAAACGUAGGACGCGAGCGUUAUCCGGAGUUACUGGGCGUAAAGGGCGGGCAGGCGGUUCACAAAGUCUGGCGUGAAAUCUCCCAGGCUCAACCGGGAGGGUGCGUUGGAAACUGGUGAGCUAGAGGGCGGUAGAGGGUCGUGGAAUUCCGGGUGGAGUGGUGAAAUGCGUAGAGAUCCGGAGGAACACCAGAGGCGAAAGCGGCGACCUGGGCCGCACCUGACGCUGAACCGCGAAAGCCAGGGGAGCGAACGGGAUUAGAAACCCGAGUAGUCC